UGGAUAUUAAAUAUGAGCCACACAAUUUGUAAAAGAAACAAGAUUUUAACAGAGAAAAGAAAACGAAAAAGAAAACAGAAUGACUAGCACCAUCCAAACGAUAAUUUGUAUACCUUCAUUAGAAUAGCUCUUCAUUUAAAAUCCGUUCUCCUUACGUAUGGAAGUGAAAUAUGAGAAUGCAUAUGUAUUUUGGAUCUUUCCACCUCUGAUCAUAUACUUAUAGAGGAGCUUCCACCAAUCUUUAACUAACCAGUGGGUGAAAGUGCCAAAUCCAUAGCGACUCCUUCACUCUCUGGCAUAUCUCUAACCUCACUAAGAAGCCUUGUCAAUUCUUUUGGAAGUUCCCUACGGAUAAAGUCAGAUCGUUCCUUUGUGAUUGAUGACUCUGUGAACAGGGUCUCAGUCAGGGACUGAUAUUCUUGAAACCAUUCACCAUUGUUACUUUGAGCAUAGUGAUCAUCAUAGAAAACUAGUGAACUUUCCUGUCGCCAUCUUCUUAGGUAAUAUUUGUCAGGAAGAUGAAAGUAGUUUUUCUGUAUGAAUACACGAAGAGCAUGUCUGCACAAUAUUCCUGAUUCAAAUUCCUUACACGAACAGUGGAUCUGCUCAUCUUCUGGUAUCCAUAUGACAAAAUGCUCUCCAUCCAUCUUCUUGAAGUGAUGUACAAGAUACGAUCCAUCAGCCAUUUCAGAUAAAGCAUAUUGCAUUGCCAACAUUAAUUCAUGUUGUAAAGCGUUGAAGGCGAAUGGAGUAAAAAUACUACGUGCAUGCUCUUCAAUAGGUAUGCAUGUCUUCAUGAGCAUGUAUUGCAUCUCUUGGCGUGCUUGGUUCAGAAAAUUAGCAGAAAUACCAACCUGCUCAAAGAAACUACGCAAACAUGUUUGCGCAUUGCACACUCCUUUCAAAAAUGCAUCGACAGACUUUGAAUAUGACGAUGUUGCCAUUCUAGCAAGAAAGUAGCCCCUCACAUAGGAUAAAGCCCAGGAUGCACGGAAAGAAUUGAGCAAAGCAAUGUGUUUAUCCGAACCAAGUCCAAAGAUGGAAACCAUUUGACUCCAUUGAAGUUCAAAACCUUCUGUGCUCUCAAUGCGAUACAACUCAUCAAACUUGGAUUUAAAUUCAGCAAAUCGAGUGCCAAAAGCAAGAGAAAACCAACUGUAUACCUUGGGUAAAAUAUUCC
rnacentral:misc_RNA from 1 species